GGUGACAUAAACCUCCCCUCCCACAUAAUGAACAGCAGCAUCAGACACUCAAUAUUUCUACUAUGGCCACUAUGAAGACUCAUACGCUCCUCAUGUUUGCAGUCUCGUCUCUAUGGAUCCACACAGUUCAGUGUGUGACCCAGCAUCAGGGAGUGACCCAGCACCCGGCCAUCAGCUGGAGCUAUGUGUCCAAAUCUGCAGAGAUGAACUGCAGCCACAACAAAGAUGCUGGUCACAACCAGAUGUACUGGUACAGACAGCGUCAAGGAGAGACCAUGAGCCUCAUCGUCUACAUGCUUUACGGAGGGAAGCCACAAUACGAAGGGGCUGAAGGCAAAUACUCAGCCGUCAAAGACAGCAUUGAGACCGGGGCUCUUACUGUGAAAGACCUGACGCCUGAGGACAGCGCUGUUUACUUCUGUGCUGUCAGCAAACACAGUGAUGUGAGACGUACCAGCAGCUGAACAAAAACUACAACAGCAAGUUUAAUGUUGGUCCUGUAGGUGGUGCUAGACGUUC